UCUGGCUUUAAGCCAAGCGGUCUCGCUAGAGUGCCCAACUAAAUGAUGGUAACUAGCGACAAGGGUUGCGCUCGUUGCGGGACUUAACCCAACAUCUCACAACACGAGCUGACGACAGCCAUGCAGCACCUGUCUCGGCGUCUCCGAAGAGAACCCCUACUUUCAUAGGGUAGCACCGGAUGUCAAGUCUGGGUAAGGUUUUUCGCGUAGCAUCGAAUUAAACCACAUGCUCCACCGCUUGUGCGGGCCCCCGUCAAUUCCUUUGAGUUUUAAUCUUGCGACCGUACUUCCCAGGCGGGAUACUUAAUGCGUUAGCUGCGACACCGCGACAAUUAGGUAUCGCGACGUCUAGUAUCCAUCGUUUAGGGCGUGGACUAC
rnacentral:misc_RNA from 1 species